rnacentral:rRNA from 1 species
GAUGAACGCUGGCGGCGUGCCUAAUACAUGCAAGUCGAGCGAACAGACGAGGAGCUUGCUCCUCUGACGUUAGCGGCGGACGGGUGAGUAACACGUGGAUAACCUACCUAUAAGACUGGGAUAACUUCGGGAAACCGGAGCUAAUACCGGAUAAUAUAUUGAACCGCAUGGUUCAAUAGUGAAAGACGGUUUUGCUGUCACUUAUAAAUGGAUCCGCGCCGCAUUAGCUAGUUGGUAAGGUAACGGCUUACGAAGGCAACGUUGCGUAGCCGACCUGAGAGGGUGAUCGGCCACACUGGACCUGAGCCCCGGUCCAGACUCCUACGGGAGGCAGCAUUAGGGAAUCUUCCGCAAUGGGCGAAAGCCUGACGGAGCAACGCCGCGUGAGUGAUGAAGGUCUUCGGAUCGUAAAACUCUGUUAUUAGGGAAGAACAAAUGUGUAAGUAACUAUGCACGUCUUGACGGUACCUAAUCAGAAAGCCACGGCUAACUACGUG